AGCUUUGGUCUGGUGAUCAUAACACACAACGCUGCGGUAUGCGGUAUGCGUUGCCGGACACUCAAUCAUAUGAAAAACGUCGAGUGUUCUCUUGUUCCGUCGCAGUAUGCGUCAGCGGCGAGGGGCAAGCGCGGUGAAGUGGGGAGGUGUACUCCCGCACAACGCGGUGUCAUUCUCGGUUCAACGCUGCGGUGUGCGGUGUGCGUCACGAGUGUGCGUCACGGGUCAAUAUGGAAUUUUUCGAAGACAAUUUAAUAGAAUUAGUUCGUAACUAUUCUUCUUUAUAUAAAAAUUUAUAAAAAACAAUUCUUCUUCUUCCUCUUCAAGCAAAGCACAAAUUACAGAAAAAUUGUUCAUGUUCACGUCUACCUUGGUAGCUGCGGCAAAAUCAAAUGACCACCACCACCGCAGGGACGCUAAAUGCUGCGUCGUGACGCUGCGUUACGACGCAUACCGCAGCGUUGUGCGUUAAGAUCACCAGACCAAAGCUUUAUGGUGUGUUUCGUCACGUCAUUGGGUGCGUCGUGUUCCGGUGCGCUGCUCGUAGAAGCCAGUUCAAGGGGGAUGGGUAUGUACAGUUGCGCUGCGUUUGGUGCGUUUUUGCAUUAGGCCCAUAUCAGGUGAAACAAACACGUUCAUACUUCGAUGAACAUAUAAGGGAUAUAUGGCAUGUAUGUGGUUGAAGUAUGGGAGCGAAGUUUGGGCAGCCAAGAAGACCCAUGAACAAAAGCUGCACACUACCGAAAUGCGCAUGCUGAGAUGGGCGGGAGAAGUAAUACUCAAGGAUAAAGUACGGAACGAAUAUAAGAGGAAGCUUUAAAGUUGCACCCAUAACCGACAAAAUAUCGGAAUCAAGGCUCAGAUGGUACGGACACCUAAGUGCCUUUCCAUGGCUGCAAGAAAGAGGGGUAGGGGAAGACCGCAAACUACCUGGAUGACAAAUGUCCAAAGGGACAUGAAACGCCUCGGCCUCAUUGACCAAGACGCCAACACGCGAUUUACAUGGCGCCGCAUGAAAGUAAGGCGAGGGCAAAGAAGAAGAUGUGGUUGAAUGAAGUAUGUCCGGAACUGGAACAUUCCCAAGAAAUGAUAAUACGGGUUGGUGGUAAUCAUCCCUAUUUAUUAAGAGGACGUAUUAAGUCUCGUCAUGUUUCCCAGACAAUUUAUUUUGCCUAUGUUUUAUUUGACACUGAACAUAAUAGUGUUUCUGUCCUGCUGGGCUAACAUGCGGCUCGCGAGAAAAUUUUGUGGUCUUAUCUCUCUAUGUCUACCGAAGCUAACAUGGUUGCAAACGUCAUUCGGCUCGUGGCGUCACAAGUAGAGAUAAACUUAAUUUUUACUUAUCUGUGGUAUUUUCGUCUACGAGCACUAACAUGCUAACGUAAUUUUCUCGACUUUUGUCAUUUAAAAUAGGGAUAAUUGUCGUUGUUGUUUCUAGCGGACGAGAUAAUUUGUCUUCAAUAGAUUAACGGAAUUACGAUGGCGGUUAAUUUUUUAUAAUUAUUUAAUAUCAUUAUACGAUGAGCGAGAGGCGCGCAAAAUCCAGCGCAGACGAACAAGGAAUGUGCGUGAUCCACUUUGGCGGAUUUCGAAGAGGCAUUCUGUCGUCACACCUCGACGCAAGUUAGAUUUAGGUUCGAUUAGCUUUAGGCCGUCAUAAUGUAAGAGUCUGCAUCUAACAUUGAUGCAGACGUUAGGUUAGGUUAAAAUAUAAGAACUUUAUGAUAAACUUAGUAGUAAUU